GACAGAGGGUGCAAACGUUGUUCGGAAUUACUGGGCGUAAAGCGCGUGUAGGCUGUUUUGCAAGUCGGAUGUGAAAGCCCUGGGCUCAACCUAGGAAGUGCACUCGAAACUGCAGAACUGGAGUCCUGGAGAGGAAGGCGGAAUUCUCGGUGUAGAGGUGAAAUUCGUAGAUAUCGAGAGGAACACCAGUGGCGAAGGCGAGUCCCUGGACACUUCCUGACACUGAGGCACGAAAGCUAGGGGAGCAAACAGG
rnacentral:rRNA from 1 species